GGAAAUUUUUAAUUUAAACCCAUGUAUUGUAUCAUGAUGUAGAGAUAAUGGUAAGUGUUAGACAUUUUGAAUUAUAAACAAUUUACCUGUAUUUAUCAAUAAGGAAUAUGUAAAAGUGAAAUAUUGCACAAAAGGUAUAGAUAACAUCAUAUGAAUAUGAAUAUGACAGCUAUUAUCAAUUCGUUUGAUGUUUUCUUCAUUUUUCCAUUUGCUUCGGACUUUCCGUUAUAUUCUCCUCAAAGUUCGUAUUUUUUUUCUAAUUUUACUUUUGAUUUUAUAUAAAUGUAUUCAAUUGUUUGAUACGCCUCUUAACUAAAGCUGAUGUCAUGUUGCUUUCAAAAAUACAAUAAUGAGUAAGGGUAACGAAUUUACAGUAGAUCAAACUUUUCAUAUUUUGUCAAUAUUAUAUAUAUUUAUAUUUUUAGGGAUUGAGAAUAAGAAUUUCACAACUGUUUAGUCUUUUCCUUACAUUUUCAGGUAAGACUGUAAACCAUUGUUUGUUUUAAAGCGUCGCAUUAUAUAUUUUUCAUGAUGUUUUUGUACUCUUGUUUGCCUGGAUGUCUUUUGAUUUUUAACCUAGGCGUUGUCAGUUAAUUUUUAACUUUGAACGUCUCUUUGGUAUCUUUUGCCUAUUUUUGUAACUCAACAAUCGUAUACAAUUACAGCACAAUGGACGAAAUACUUAAAGAUUUGGUAUUUGGGAGAGAGGCGCAAUAAAGUAAAAAUUAUCUGUUGUCCAUAUGCAAUAAAAUUGUAUAUUUAUGGUGUCUUGAUACUUUAAAAACAUUUAAGUAAAACUAUUUACAGAAUUGUUAGCAGUAAACGUUUUGUACCAUUUUGAAGAUGACACAGUCAUUUUAUCAUGUGACCAAUUGUCAAAUGAACAGAUAGUAUGGCAGGGACCAGCAAAUUAUUCUACAUAUGGAUAUGGGGAUAUCAUAAAUCCCAAUUUGUCUAAAUCCAACAGAAUUACAAUUGUACAUGUCAAUGGAAGUCGACAGUAUAAUUUGCAAAUUCGAAAUUUCUCCAGGGAAGAUGAAGGGCACUACAAAUGUGUAAGUGCCAGUGGCGGGGAG
rnacentral:lncRNA from 1 species